rnacentral:ncRNA from 1 species
CAGAGUAGGAACGGCGCGUCAAGUGCCCAUGGAUGGGAAGUUGCCAUGGGACGAAGGCGCAGAUAAAAAGCGUCGCGUUGCCGUAUCCGCGUCCGCUGC